GACGAACGCUGGCGGCGUGCUUAACACAUGCAAGUCGAACGGAUUGCUUGGUGCUUGCACUGAGUGGUUAGUGGCGAACGGGUGAGUAACACGUGGGUGACCUGCCCCGCACUUCGGGAUAAGCCUGGGAAACUGGGGCUAAUACCGGAUAGGACCGCACCGCGCGGGUGUGGUGGAGAGGUUUUCGGUGUGGGAUGGGCCCGAGGCCUAUCAGUUUGUUGGUGGGGUAAUGGCCUACCAAGGCGGCGACGGGUAGCCGGCCUGGGAGGGUGGACGGCCACAUUGGGACUGAGACACGGCCCAGACGCCUACGGGAGGCAGCAGUGGGGAAUAUUGCACAAUGGGCGGAAGCCUGAUGCAGCGACGCCGCGUGGGGGAUGACGGCCUUCGGGUUGUAAACUCCUUUCACCAUCGACGAAGGUUUUCUGACGGUAGAUGGAGAAGAAGCACCGGCUAACUACGUGCCAGCCGCCGCGGUAAAAC
rnacentral:rRNA from 1 species